rnacentral:tRNA from 2 species
CCGCUUUUAGCUCAGUGGUCAAGCGUUGGCUUUGGAAGCCACAGGUCGGUGGUUCGAACCCGCCAGGGCACA